rnacentral:rRNA from 1 species
AACGAACGCUGGCGGCAUGCCUAACACAUGCCAGUCGAACGAGACCUUCGGGUCUAGUGGCGCACGGGUGCGUAACGCGUGGGAACCUGCCCUUAGGUUCGGAAUAACUCCCCGAAAGGGGUGCUAAUACCGGAUAAUGUCUUCGGACCAAAGAUUUAUCGCCUUUGGAUGGGCCCGCGUUGGAUUAGCUAGAUGGUAGGGUAAAAGCCUACCAAGGCGACGAUCCAUAGCUGGUCUGAGAGGAUGAUCAGCCACACUGGGACUGAGACACGGCCCAGACUCCUACGGGAGGCAGCAGUGGGGAAUAUUGGACAAUGGGCGAAAGCCUGAUCCAGCAAUGCCGCGUGAGUGAUGAAGGCCUUAGGGUUGUAAAGCUCUUUUACCCGGGAUGAUAAUGACAGUACCGGGAGAAUAAGCUCCGGCUAACUCCGUG